AUGGCUGAGAUUGUGCUUCUUCUAGUAAUUGAAAAGAUCGGAGUAGCCUUGGCAAAUGGAGCAGCACAUCAGGCCGGUACACAGUUUUCCAGGUACGCGACCCGACUAAUAGAGCUACAAGGCAGCAUGGGUCGCGUUGUUAGGGAGCUUCGCAUAAUUCAUGAUGUUCUAUUUCAAAUGGACAUUCGAAACCGCCACAAUCAAGUGUAUGAGGGCUGGUUGGAUGAGGUGCGGAAGGUAGCACAUGGGAUGGAGGAUAUGGUUGAUGAGUACAUGUAUCAAGUUGGUCGGGAACAUGAUACUGGGUGUUGCUUUUACCUGAAGAAAGGGCUUAGAAAACCAAGAUCUCUGCUUUCAUUGAAUCAGAUAUCUUCCAAAGUGAAGGAAAUAGAGAAAGACCUCGCACACCUGUCAGAGAUGAAAAAACAAUGGGUUCCCAUGAUAAACAAUGAAGAUACUAGUAGCUUGAAUUACAUGAUCAAGAAGUCUCAAGAUCUAGCAAACAUUUCACGUUCCCUUGAUGACGAAGAUCUAGUUGGGGUGGAUGAAAACAGAGGAAAGCUUGAGCAGUGGUUGGGAAGUGAUGAUGUGGAAUGUUCCCUGAUUACACUGACAGGAAUGGGUGGGCUUGGCAAAACAGCUUUAGCUUCAAAUGUCUAUAGGAAAGAGAGAGAGAAAUUUCAGUGCCAUGCAUGGGUCUCCAUCUCUCAAACUUAUUCUAGAGAAGAUGUCUUGAGAAAUAUAAUCAAGGAACUAUUCAAAGAUACAACCAGUGGUCCAUCAAACAUUGCAGCUAUGGACAUCACAAGCCUUCAAGAGACAUUGAAGAGAUAUCUAGGGGAAAUGAAGUAUUUGAUCAUAUUAGAUGAUGUUUGGACCCCAGAUGCAUUUGAAGACCUGUCUAGGUCACUUGUUUGUAAUGGUAAGGGAAGCAGAUUGAUAAUCACAACACGGCAGGGUGAUGUUGCUGCACUUGCUUCUCAAGGACACAUAUUAACACUUGAACCUUUACCAGAAGACAAGGCUUGGGAUCUUUUUUGUAAGAAAUCUUUUCCAAAAGAAACAAACCAUCACUGUCCGGAGGAGUUGAGGCUUUUGUCCGAGGAAAUACUUAGCAAGUGUAAAGGAUUGCCUCUUGCUAUUGUGUCAAUUGGCAGCCUCUUGCAUGUGCGUGAGAAAACCGUUGAAGAAUGGAAAAGAAUAAAUGACCAAUUGAGUUGGGAGAUACUUAAUAACUGA
rnacentral:rRNA from 1 species